rnacentral:rRNA from 1 species
AGAGUUUGAUCCUGGCUCAGGACGAACGCUGGCGGCGUGCUUAACACAUGCAAGUCGAACGAUGAAGCCUAGCUUGCUAGGUGGAUUAGUGGCGAACGGGUGAGUAAUACGUGAGUAACCUACCUUUAACUCUGGGAUAAGCCUGGGAAACUGGGUCUAAUACCGGAUACGACCAAUCUCCGCAUGGGGUGUUGGUGGAAAGCGUUAUGUAGUGGUUAUAGAUGGGCUCACGGCCUAUCAGCUUGUUGGUGAGGUAACGGCUCACCAAGGCGACGACGGGUAGCCGGCCUGAGAGGGUGACCGGCCGACACUGGGACUGAGACACGGCCCAGACUCCUACGGGAGGCAGCAGUGGGGAAUAUUGCACAAUGGGCGCAAGCCUGAUGCAGCGACGCCGCGUGAGGGAUGACGGCCUUCGGGUUGUAAACCUCUGUUAGCAGGGAAGAAGAGAAAUUGACGGUACCUGCAGAGAAAGCGCCGGCUAACUACGUG